AAAAGAGACAAUUAAAGUUAUGUAGAUCAUACUAUCAUAUCAGCUAGGGAUAAAGGAUUUAGCUCUACUAAAACUGAAGCAACAAAACUGAUAAAUCUGAGGUGACAGAGUUCAUUUGUUCUUCUUCCCUUUGUGACAUCCAUCCAUCCCACCCUCAACUUUAGGACUGAUUGGACUGAGGUCUCACCAGCCUGCUGACCAUUUUCCCUAAGAGAUCAUCAGGCUGACUGCAGUGGCAACUACUCUGGACAAAGAAUGGGUAGAUGUCGUCUUGAGAAUGUUUAGACUACAGGAGAUGUGGCAUGAAGCUGAAAAGUUAUGAGCACCUUCAGAUUCUCUUGAAGCAUAAAUGAGAGUCUGGGGUAAGCA
rnacentral:lncRNA from 1 species